UACGAGGGGGGCAAGCGUUGUCCGGAAUCACUGGGCGUAAAGGGCGCGUAGGCGGCGCAGGAAGUCAACGGUGAAAGUUCGGGGCUCAACCCUGAAUCGGCCGUCGAUACUCCUGGGCUCGAGCACUGUAGAGGCAGAUGGAAUUCCGGGUGUAGCGGUGGAAUGCGUAGAGAUCCGGAAGAACACCGGUGGCGAAGGCGGUCUGCUGGGCAGUUGCUGACACUGAGGCGCGACAGCGUGGGGAGCAAACAGG
rnacentral:rRNA from 1 species